rnacentral:rRNA from 1 species
GACGAACGCUGGCGGCGUGCUUAACACAUGCAAGUCGAACGAAGAGCGAUGGAAGCUUGCUUCUAUCAAUCUUAGUGGCGAACGGGUGAGUAACGCGUAAUCAACCUGCCCUUCAGAGGGGGACAACAGUUGGAAACGACUGCUAAUACCGCAUACGAUCUAAUCUUGGCAUCGAGGAUAGAUGAAAGGUGGCCUCUACAUGUAAGCUAUCACUGAAGGAGGGGAUUGCGUCUGAUUAGCUAGUUGGAGGGGUAACGGCCCACCAAGGCGAUGAUCAGUAGCCGGUCUGAGAGGAUGAACGGCCACAUUGGGACUGAGACACGGCCCAGACUCCUACGGGAGGCAGCAGUGGGGAAUCUUCCGCAAUGGACGAAAGUCUGACGGAGCAACGCCGCGUGAGUGAUGACGGCCUUCGGGUUGUAAAGCUCUGUUAAUCGGGACGAAAGGCCUUCUUGCGAAUAGUGAGAAGGAUUGACG